rnacentral:misc_RNA from 1 species
ACAUUGAGUCGACAAAAUGAUGGGGGAUGAUCCCAUGACCAAUUUUUUCCUGAACUUGUAAAAUGCGGCGAAUCUAGCAAGAAUGAGAGGAUUUGUGGUUGUCAACAAGAUAAACGACGUAUUCUACCUGGAUUGCGACACGGAGUUUACAAACCACAUCAAUGCACAAGCUGUAGAACAAGGUUUACUCGAGGCUGGUAACUAUGACACAAAAAUUCUGGACCCAAGCAUGGUCAUGCAGUUGUUCUCACCGCUGUUUAUGUCUCAGUGGUUUCUCAUUGAGCAAAGAAAGAACCCAUGUACAUCGAUCACAUGUGAAAAUGGAUUUAUAUUUGUUUUCAAACAGUUGGAGGAUUUGUUGAUUGUUGCAAUCAGCAGAGAGAAACCAGACACAGAACAGUUCUUAAGUAAGAAGAUUGGUGUGUUUAUACGUGUUGUUGAAUUUCUAUUUGGACCAGUUACAAAUGAAAUGGGCUACAGUGUCUUCUGCAGAAGAAGCGACAGGUGGACAUUUUUACAAAAUCUAAUGAAAACCUGGGAACUGUUGAGAAAGGAGGAACAUUCCUUUCUUGUUGAGGCAAUAGAGAGACUGCAUGUAAAUCAACUCGUAAAUGAAAAAUGUAUGGAAAGUUUGGAGUAUGCCAUGAGUCGGUUACAGAGUGCUGGAGAGAAAAACAUCCAUCAUGCAUUGCUGGUUGUCAACAGCAAACUGUUAUCCCUCUAUUCAAAUCGAAGUGCACCAUCCUUAGCUGAGUCCGAUGUUUUAUGCACCAUCUUGUUGGCACGUCUGUUAUUUCCCACCAAUGAGAAGUUAGAGGAUUUGUUUUCUUAUCGUAAGCCAGACGACAGUGGGUCUACUACGGAGGAAAUGAAAUCGCCUGCUUCCAUUACAGUAACGCCACCUCUUGAGAGAUAUGAAAGCGCUGUAGAGGGAGACGACUCAUUGGAUGAAGAAAAUAAAGCCCUUAUCCUGCUGUCUCAGAACAUGUCACUGAGGAGGAGACACCCACAGCAGAGCCUAAGGGGACCGACAUAAUGGGGGAGGGAUUCGCUACCCCCGAUUCUGCCUCCCCUGUCACAGACAUCCAUAAGCUGAUAAAAGACAAUACGGGGAGACUGACGCCUGUGGGAAGAAGUCGUAGUCGGACUUUUGAUGGGAUGAUAACUGGGCGGGUCACCCCGGGGCCGGGCAGGGCCAGGAGUAGGAGUCUGAAUGUGGACCAGCAAGGGCAGAGAGCAGACAUGCCAUCAAUUCAACGAAGUUCCUCCCCACUGCCAAAAGGGGAGCCCAUCCAGCCUGUGUCCCCAGUAAUCCGCUCCAGUCCGGAUCACAUCCGUCAGACGGCCUUCCUGUCCACCCAACUAUGCAACUUCUACCCUUAUCAACUAGAUUUUGUCCAGAUAUUCCCUGGCAUGGUCAUAGUUCUGCUGAGUGAGAUACCCAGAGCCAACCAUGCUAGUAGUUUAUGUCAGUUGCUAAGGUUACUGACUGACCUCUUGUCAGGACAGAAAUCUCAAGUUCAGAGGGUUCAAGGACAUGUUCUGUAUGACCUAAUAAACACCCUUCUCGUCAAACUGGCGACAGCUAUGAAAAAAGCUAAGGGCAACAUUGAGAGAAUUUUAGAGGACAUACGGAGGAGAUGGGAUAAUGCUGAGUUCAAAUCUUCUCUGCUGUCUUAUCUAGAGCAAGGGGCAGGGACAGAGAUCCCACCUGGUGCAGAGAGAUCUUUGACUGGCCUCCAUAGGAAGGUGAAGGAGUUAUUCUUACAUCUGUACCUUUAUCCUUAUGACAUUCCGCCAGCUGUCAGUCAGGCCAUGACCUCAAUAUGUGAAAAGGCCAAGGUCAAAUUGUUUGACUACAAGGACUACCUGUCUGUGAAGUCACAAAGAAAUAUUGUGAUGACCUCAUACCUUGAUGCCUUCCCUGGACUGGUUCACUUUAUUUACAUAGACAGGAGAACCAAUCAACUGACAGCUCCCUCCCUCAACAUCACUGAUGAGGGAGAAAAUCAUGAUGCCACCCAGUUUUUAAAAGACAAAAUUUGGAAUAUGACAUGUUGGAUGUAUGGAAAACUUGCUGAAGGAGUUACCGUGGCGACCGCUAGGGAAGGAGAUUACCAUUACUCAUAUUUCAUGUGGUUCACAGACUACCAGGGAGCCCCAAAACAAAUCCAAGAGGCGUACCAGGAGGGGGACGUCAGCAUUCCGCCAGGCAUCUUGUCCGGACAGUUUUACAGCUCACUGAAGAGACAUUGUUUUCCAAACUGUCUUCCCGGUUCUGUGAAUUGUUAUGAACUAAUCAUGAUGCAUGUAGGACUGGUCAAUGUGCAAUAUAUUUUUACUCACCGACAGAUGCUGGCCAAACAAUUCUUUGAAGCAUCUGGAGACACACAAAUGAAUUUAGUGCUGUAGUUCAUGUGCUUGUAUUAAUGUAAAUUUAAUUAUACCUUUUCUGGAAUAAAUGUUAUAUACAGAAA